rnacentral:lncRNA from 1 species
ACAACUGCAGUGAAAGAGCUCAUCAAGAGGAUGACAGAUAAGCUCUACAAGUUAGUGUCGGAGGAACCGGAAACACCUGUCUCGACUGCAAUCAAAGAGGCAGCUCAGAGUGUGGAGAAAGUGUUAAAGGCACUGUCACCUAGCUCGGAAGAUAGAUGGAACGAACCACCCUUGAUCUUAGGCGCACAAAUGGGCCUUCAUGAUUUCGUCGGCAAGAUCCUGCAAGUGUGCCCGCAGUCAGCAACCUACCUGGACACGAAGGGCAGAAAUGUUCUCCGAGUGGCGAUAGAAUCUGGGAACCGAGAGACUGUAGAAACUAUCCGUAGGAUGACCCAGGGAGACAACCCCAUUUUACCAUCCUGGUUGUUGUCCAGCAUCGACUCUAAAACCAGAAACACCAUCCUGCAUUUUGCUUCUGAGAAGGUCGGUGAUACCGGAGACGAUGCAGUCCAAAUGCAAGACGAGAUACGAUGGUUUGAGGUUACGUACUCCCAGUGUUCGAUCAUAUGUCUCAUAAGAGAAAUAUUUGUCAUUGUAGAAUUCCAAGUGAUCAUUAAUUAAUCGUAUGCAUGCAGAUGGUGAAAGAGAUGGUGCCUAGGGAGCUCGUGUACAGUCGAAACACGGACGAGAAGACAGCACGGGAGAUAUUUACCGAGAGCCACAAAGAGAUGUUUAAGAACUGCAAGAGUCAGCUAAUGGAGAUGGGCAAGACAUGUUCAGGCCUCGUAGCGGCGGUGGUCUUCGCGUCCAGCUUCUCCAUACCGGGCGAGAAGGAUUCCGGAACCGGCAAUCCUAUGUACUUCAACAGGCUAGCCUUUAAAGUGUUCACGCAUGCGUACGUGAUCGGGUUGUCGUGCGCCGCCACGUCUCUGGUGUUGUUCUUGUCCCUCAUCAUCUCGCCUUACAAGGAGCAGCAGUUCCGCCGUGCCAUCCCCACCAAGUACUUCUUCGCUUGCUUCUCGUUUGGGCUGGCGCUGAUGGCUUUGUUGGUGGCCUUCACUUGCAACAUCUUCCUACAGAUAUAUGGGGGGCAGACAACACAGGCGAAGGACAUCCUUCAACUUGUACUGGAGCUGGCCGUCUUCCCCACUGUCUGCUUUAUUGUGCUCCUCUACCGUGGUGCCAAUUUUGGUCCAUCUUUUUUCCGUCGUGUUCGGAGUUGAUUCAGUAAGCAUUAAUGUCGGGCAUACUUCCUCGGCUUCGUGGACUGUGCCAGUUGAACUUUUGCGUGUGCGUGUGCGUGUGGCAUUAAAUUCUAUAAUUCCAGAAUUGUACUCGUAUUUAUUAGGAGGCUCCGAUGAAUUAGACGUAUUUUGACUUUUUCGAUGUGAAAUUUGAGUAUGCUCAAUAUCUUGUGCUCUUGUUUGCAAUCAUAAAAAUUCGUAACAUAUGCGCUGCUGUUCAUAUCAUUAACAAGCAAGAAAAAAAAUUUCAUGACUCUGAUUCAGAUAAUUUUUGUUCCAAUACCACUUGUUAAGAAAUAAAAGGAAAGAAACUAAAAUGCCAAAAAAAAGAAAAAAAGCAGAGCAACGAGAAGAAUUCUGUUUUUCUACGGUUUUUCUAAAUGGGACUAUACUAAUCUCGGAUCGACGAGGACCGCAGUGAGCGGUGUGAUCGCGGGCUACGGUGGGCGUGGUAAGGCCAGCGGCAUCGAAUGCGAGGGUUGCGGAGGGGCGACGCUGGCUUUGUCGCGAGCCAGCGGUUGGCACGGGCACGCGGCAGCGCGGCGGUGUGCGCUGGAAGCGCAGGCGCGCGAUGGGGCCACACGGUGAGGAAUCCAGCGGCGGCCAGAAGCACUCACGGGAGUUGGACCGGUUCAGUGAGGAACUGGUCCGGUUGAUUUAACCGAAGUGUGACUCAAUUUUGAGUCCGUUCCCGCAAGACCAAAUUAAAGCUAUUUCUCGCUUUAAUAAGGGUCGGUCGGAUUUGUUCUGGAAUUUAAAGCUUCAGCCGGCUUGAGACUAUGCCCCAACUUGAAGCAAAGCUGCGCACGUACGUUUGUCGGUGGAUGGACGGCAGGGGGUGCCAUCCGAUCUCCUACUUGGUGGAUUGAAUCUAGUGCGAUUGAAUCUAGUGCUUCAACUAAUGUUACCAAUAAUACUAAUAUUAUCAAUAAUACGUGGAUUGAUUUUAGUGCUUUAACUAAUGUUACCAAUAAUAUGCAGAGAUUUUUUCUCAAUCCGAAAAUCAAAGAAACAUAAGAGAUUAAUCAUUAUGAAAAAUCGUCUUAAAGCGAACUUGAUAUUAGUAGAGAUUUAUCGUCUACGCUUAGAGACAGGUCAUCUGAUAGAUCAUGUUAACACAUGUUAUGUUUAUACUAUUUCUAGAAAUUUAGUUUCUCUAUCUAGAAUUGAUGAGUUAGGAUAUUAUCUUUCUUUUGAUAAUGGUAAACUCAGUAUAUUUUAUGAUUCAAUAAAAAUUGGUUCUUGAAUUCUGUGUGAUGGUUUGUACUGAAUUAAUUUGGAUCUUGAGUUUGUAAAGAUAUUAUUGACCCUACAAUCAAAUGUUGGAUUGAAACUUAAUUUCAAUAAUGAAAGAUCUUUUGUAGUAGAGACGAUUGGGGCAUAUCUCCCAGAAUUAAAAGAUUAAUGAAGGAUAAUAUUUUGGAACAUUUAGACUUUACUGAUUUUGAUGUUUGUAUAGAUUGCAUUAAGGGAAGGCAAACUAAACAUAUAAAGAAAAAAUGCGAACUCCAUGGACCACUCCAUAUUCUUAUUUUAGUGAAUAAAGGUAUUUCAUCACAUUUAUAGAUGACCUGUCCAGUUAUGACUAUGUUUAUCUAUUACAUGAAAAGUCUCAAACCGUUGAUACUCUUGAAGUAUAUAUAAAUGAGGUCGAGAGACAAUUAGAUAGAAAAUUUAAAAUUGUCAAUAGGGGUAAUGAAUUUUAUGACAAAUAUGAUGGAUUUAGUCAGAAUAUUGGUCCAUUUGCUAGAUUCCUAGAAUAAUGAGGUAUUUGUGCUCAAUGUACAUUACCAGGUAUGCCAUAGCAGAAUGAUGUUGUUGAAAGACGAAAUCGUACUCUUAUGGAUAUGGUUAGGAGCAUGAUGAGUUUUUCCUCUAUACCUGAGUCAAUAUGGGGUGAAGCUCUUAGGACAACUAUGUAUAUCUUGAACAAGGAUCCGAGUAAGUUAAUUUCAUCAACUCCAUUUACGUAAUGGACUAGUAAGAAGCUCAGUUUGAGAUAUUUACAUAUUUGGGGAUGUCAUGCAGAAAUAAGAUUAUUCAAUCCACAUAAAAAGAAAUUGGAUUCAAAAACUAUUUCAGGAUAUUUUAUUAGUUAUCUAGAAAAAUCCUAGGGAUACAGAUUUUAUUGCCCUAAUCAUAGUAUGAGGAUAGUAGAAUUUAGUAAUGUAAAAUUCUAAAAAAAUAGCGAAAUCAGUGGGAGUGAAAAAUCUGGAAUGAUCAAUUUUGAUAUUGAGGAUAUUCAUGUUAAUUCUCUAAUAUCAUCUUCUAUUCGAGAUAUUGUUGUUCCUCGAAUUAAUGAAAGCAUUGACGAGGGUGAACAACAAAAUAAUAUAGAAGAACUCUCAUAUAAUAUUGAUGUCACCGCUGAUGAUCUUAUAGAACAAUCACAAUCGACAACUUUGAGAAGAUAUAAAAGAAAAAGAAAAUAUGAUAUUUCUGAUGAUUAUGUGAUACAUCUACAAGAAUCAAACUAUGAUAUAAAAAUAAAAAUAGACCUCUUAUCAUUUUCAGAAGCCAUAGAAAGUAACAAUUCUGAAAAAAGGUAUGAUACAAUAAACGAAGAGUCAAAAUCAAUGGUCCAGAAUGGUAUUUGGAAACUCAUUAAAUUACCCAAAACGUGACCCAGAGUCGGUUGUAAAUGGGUCUUUAACAUAAAACGUGACCCAACAGGCAAUAUCGAAUGAUACAAAGCCAGACUUGUGGCCAAAAGUUUUUCACAAAAAGAAGACAUCGACUAUAAUAAGACUUUUUCUCUAGUUUCUAGAAAUGACUCGUUGAGAAUCGUCAUGGCAUUAGUAGCUCAUUAUGAUCUUAAGUUACAUCAGAUGGAUGUGAAAAUAGCAUUUUUGAACGAGAAUCUAGAUGAGAAAAUUUAUAUAGAAUAAUAUGAAGGAUUCAUAGAAAAGGGAAAAGAAAGUUGGGCUUGUAAACUUAAGAAAUCAAUUUAUAGUCUUAAAUAAAUUUCUAAACAAUGGUAUAUAAAGUUUUAUAAUACCAUUACUUCAUUCGGAUUUAAGAUCAGUGCAUAUAUACGAAGGUAAGUAGGAGCAAGUUUAUUAUAUUGGUCUUAUAUGUGAAUGAUAUUUUAUUUGUCAGUAGUGAUCUUGGUUUAUUGCAUGAAACCAAGAUAUUUCUCAACAAGAACUUUAAGAUGGUUGAUAUGAAUGAAGUAGCUUAUGUUAUUGCCAUUGAGAUAUUCCGGGAUAUAUCUCAAGGAUUAUUAGAAUUGUCUCAGAAAUGAUAUAUUAAUCGUAUCUUGGAGAGAUUUAAUAUGCAACUUUGCUCAGCCAAUAAUAAACCUAUUACUAGAGGUGAAAAAUUCAGUCAAAACCAGUGCCUGAAAAAUAACUUAGAAAAUAAUCAAAUGAAGAAUAUUCCUUAUGGGUGCACAGUUAGAAGUCUAUUAUAUGCUCAAACCUAUAUAAGAUCAGAUAUCAGUUUUGCAAUUGCAAUGUUGGAAAGAUACCAAAGCAACCCAAGAAUGGAACAUUGGAAAACUAUAAAGAAAGUAAUGAGAUAUCUGCAGGGGACGAAAGAUUGUAUGCUCACAUACAGGAGAUCGGAUCAGCUUAACGUGACAGGAUAUUCAGAUGCUUAUUUUGUAAAUUGUCUCGAUAAUAGGAAGUCCACUUCAGGAUUUGUAAUCAUGUUAGUUGGUGGGGUAAUUUCUUGGAAAAGUGGAAAGCAAUCACUUAUUACAUCAUCAAUGAUGGAAGCUGAAUUUGUGACAUGUUUUAAGGCCACAAAUCAAGCUUUAUGGUUGUCAAAUUUCAUCUCAAGACUUGGUGUGGUCGACUCAAUUGUCAGGUCGCUAAAGAUAUUUUAUGAUAACACCGUAGCUGCUUUCUUCUCUAAGAAUGAUAAGAACUCUAGUGAUUCUAAGCACAUCGAGAUAAAGUAUUUAGUGGUUAGAGAAAGAGUCCAAAAACAACAAAUGUCAAUUGACAACUUAAGCACCAUUAUGAUGAUCGUUGAUCUAUUGACAAAAGCUUUACCAUGUAAAAUAUUUAAAGAACAUGUUCUUAGAAUGAGGCUUGUGAGCAAGUCAAAAAAGAUAUGGUGGUGUAUGUUUAGGUGGAUACUAUUAUUGAUAUUUUUUUACUUAAUUAAAAUUAUUUGUUUCUAUUAUCUUGUUUACGUUUAUGUUUAUGCAUAUUAUAGUUGAAUGUAAUAACAAGAUUGUCUUCACAAGAUAAAUUACAGGGGUCAUUAUGGACUAUAUUAGGAAAGACUAACGAUGAUGUGGUACAUAGAAGGGAGUAUGAUAUUGAUGGUAUACAAUUGCUAUGACUCGCAUUGAUAUAUUAUUAUUGUGUUUGUUGGACUUAUUGGCUUGUUUUAAAAUUUAUGACCAUGUAUAAAAUGUUUUUCAAAAUAAAUUAUUUUUAAACAAAUUUUAUUUUAUUUAUUUUGAUUUUGAAUAUCUUUUAUAUCUUAUCAAUUAAUGGGCCAAGCGGAAGAAGAAUGUUAGAUUUUGUGGCUCUUUAUAAUCGGAUAAGAUAUAUAUAAUAUAACUAAUCAUAUUUAUAUUGGUUAAUAGAAAAGAAGUCAUCUUAAUAAGAUAACCUUGAUGGGAGUAACUCUCUUAAUAACUCAUCUUAGACUCUCUACUCUCGAUUAUAAAUAGACAUGAUAUUUGAGGACUGAAUACAAGAAGUAAAAUAGAUUUUAUCUCAGUUAGGAUUACAACUCUCGUUAAUUAUCAAUCUAAGUGGUCAUAGGAAGAGAGGAGAAGAAUCUAAUUCAUUUUGUAGAUUCAUAGUGAUUAUCGCUUUGAGGAGGAUGAACCACGGCAUGCGCUGCGAGGAGGAUGAACCACGGCAUGUCGUGAACGUCAAACGCUUGUACUGGUUGUCCACUCUUAUUCAUGACCAGAUGAAAAAGGAGCUUCUCGAUGUGGCCACGAGCGAGCAUUGCGACCGCCCAGUCAACCUCAUGAACGAAACUGCUCCAUAUCGCCAUCGCUCGUAGGAAGACUGACUUGGGCUAGCGAUCCAUAUCAUUACCGUGUUACCAGAGGACGAGCUUGGCAUCCCUAAUUACAACGGCGACACACUCUUCAUGUCGCUGCCGCCGUGAGUGAUUAUUAUGUCGGAAUGUUUUUGUUUUUGACAUAGAACGAUCCCACUCAUCGUAAACAUUAAUUGGUCCUCUUUUUGAUGUGAUUAUUAUGUCAUUGAUCGACCAAAGAAGGUAAUGAUCAAUUUAGUCGAACAACACACGACUUCUUUAAGUUAAGAAUCGAUGACAACAGAAAACUGGCAAUUUACCAAUAAUUGGACCUUUCAAAUCAACCUGGAGAAGAGGGAAGUUUCUCCGAACAUUCUCAGAGAUCUGAGGCCAAAUGUUCUUUGGCCAGACUGACAAAAAGUUCAACAAGUCACGACAAGAAACACUGAUUAAAAAGAUUCAAUCUUUAAUUCUCCUUAACAUUCCACUACCUUGCACUUUAGUCCUGCUCAAAUGAGGCGUGUCUUCAAUGCCUAGUUGCAGCAGACGCUUGCAAGGCGCAGAACUCCUUGAUCUUCGGGGCAAAAGAAUCACCAAAGUAAUCGCUGCCGAAGACUUUGGCAAAACAUGGCUCGCCCAUCCUUUGCACAGCUCCGCAGCACCGUGGACUCAGGUUACUUGUGCCCGUGGACUUAGAACGGAAGACGGAACGAGCGCAUCCGCCAACGUAGCGUAGGGAGGACAAGCAUGCUUCGACCUCCGGGUCGUGAGACACCGGCGACGGCACCAUCCACCCAUGCCCAAGACACAGCCACCGUGCUUCUCCGACGCACGGGUACAAGCUUAGGGUGCCAGGGAUCUCCGGGGCUUCCGACGGUGAGGACCAAACCGCCAUGCUCCCGAGGAGCAGUAGCAGCAGUGGCAGAAGGUGUUCUUGCAGUUUCUUCAUGCUGCUACCAAUCGCAGUAGUAGUUGGUGGUGAAGAUAUACAUACCAUCAACAGAGGAGAUGGAUCUUUAGAUGACGUUACUUGUCUUCAUCUCAUAGGCUGCAUUAAAUUUCUCUCUUAAAUUUCGUUUACGUUAAUUGGAAUACACUGAUUUAUGGUUUUACCUAUGCAGCCAGAUGGAUUCAACUGUUUCUUUUCAACAUUUUAAUGCAACGUGAGUGACUUUUCCUAAAACAAUUAAUUUUGAGAAUUGCUUGAUUACUGUAAAGCAUUGAUUUGUUGGGGUCUUCUGAUGUUAUUGUGGGUGCAAUGCAUUAUGCAGUUUCCCCAAGAAUCCGACGUCUGGAGGAGAUAAAGAGAACCCACAGAGACGCGCUGCAACUUUUGUAGUCCACAAAGAAGAAUACGUGGAUUUCGCCCGGGGAACCAAUACAGGCGGCGGCCACACACAUACGACUGAUGACAUCGGCAAGUUUUAGCAGGAAUUGAACGCCCACCAGAAGCCGUGGUGAACGACACCGAGAAAGAAGAGAGCGACGAGAUCAGCUGGUCAUUACGUUUGCGGAAAAGCUUUUCGAAUUUGCAUACCGCAACGAUGACAAAAUCACAGCGGAGGAGCUGCGUAAGUGUAUGCAGGACGCCAUGGGGCACUUUCAGCUGACUCUGCUUGACGAUGGGACGAACCGCGCUGGUUCUUGGGCGAGAUGACUCUGAGGCACAAUACUAUUUUAUUAAGAGAAAAAGUAGAUUAAGUAUCUAUAAAGAUGACUAUGAGAGAGAAUCUUAUUUCAUUGUAUUGUAUCAAAAAGAGAGAUUCAUAAGUAAAAUAUCUAUAAAAGGGUAAACUAAAUUGACUAUUGAUUCUCGAAUAAGUUUCUUGAAAAAAAAAGAGAUUUAUUUUAAAUAUAGUUAAUAUAAUAUAUCUAUGAAGAUUAUAUAAACUUCAUAUAUUCGGUAACUUUUAUCAACGAUAAGAAUGAUUUUGAUAAAUUAUUAAUUGGAUUUCUUUAUACCACCCAAAAAGGUUUCUUUUCAGAUGCAUAAUAUAUAAAUGUUGACUACUUGAGAUGAAGAUUUAUGAAAUAAAUAGCGAAGGUCGCAAGAUGUCAUGCUAAAUAAGUUAUUUUUUAAAUUUGAAUGGAUAGAUAUUAAUAAAAGAAGUAAUCCUUUCAAAUAGUAUAAUAUAAUUUUAUAAUUUAUAAUCGCUGGAAGAUAAAAAAAGAAGAAGAAGCUAUAAAAGAAGAAGAUGAUGAAACGAGCAUUUAUGUUUGUUCGAUAUGCUACCAUCACUCGUUAUCGUUUGUGAUGACGAGAAGAAGGGACGAAGGAAAGAUAUUUACGUCUAUUCAUAGAUAGAUUUUUUUUUAAAAUUUUAAAAUAAGAUGAUAAAAAAAAAAUGGCAGGUUUGGGAAGAAAUUUAAAGUAACUUAAAUUGAGACGCCUGUUCUUUAUGUAAGCUUGACAAACACGAGUGAAAGACAAAGUGAAGUGUGUGCAGUUGUCCUUUUUCUUUUAGGAUUUAUUCAAAGACUGCAGCUUAAUUUAACAAAAGCCAUCGCAUUUGCCUAAUUUUGCUUUUGUAUAGGGAACGAAAGAACAAAGACACGUUGGGGAGAAUCGGCUUUUUGUACUUUAAUACCGUCGGAAGAGUUACCUAACAUAGCGAUCUAUGAAAGCUCGAGUAGAGAAUCUGAAGCUAUUACCCAAUGAGAAGCAAAGCUACUCGAUCAACUGGGAAUGAGGAAGGUGGCGUCUGUCGGUCGAUGGGGACCAACUUCAUCACCUUGUCUCCUCCUCCCCGUAGCCAUAUAUAUUUAGUGGCCGGUGGGAACGUAGCGAAAGGAGCGGCUCCCUUCGACGUGUUAUCGAUAUGGCGGCUCCUUCCAGCACCCAAAAGCCGACGCUUGCUACUGAUGCAGGCACCGGAUCAGGGACAAAAGGAGAGAAACAGCCGUCUGACUCCGGGAAAUCGAAGCCUGCAGAUGGCGAAGGUGAUGGUGGAUCAGAGGAGCCACCGCAUGUCCUGAACGUGGCACGCUUCCGCCGACUGAACUCGCUCAUCCACCGUGAGAACGUGGACGCGGACGAACUUCUGAAUCUUGUGGGGGGGGAUUACCGCGUGAACUUCAUGAAUGAUCCCCUGCUCAGCUUCGUCAUCGCCUGCAAGAAGCCCAAGCUCGCCGUCCGCCUCAUGGCCAAAAUAUCAUCAAAUGACAUUCUCAAGGCCAAAAACUUCAUCGGCGACACGGCGCUUCACGUAGCUGCCGCCAUGGACGACCAAGAAGUGGCCUCGGAGCUGAUCCGCAGGGUGCCAGAUCUCGUUCGUGUGCGGAACCGGAAGCAGGAGAUACCGCUACAUAAGGCGGCCCUGUACGGGCUGCAGGACAUGUUCUGGCUGCUGGUGGCCAAGAACAGCUCACCGGAAGCCCGGACGGAGGACGGCGACAGAAUGCUGCACUGUGCCAUCAUGGGCAAUGCGCCGGGUAACUAUCAUUACAUCCUCUUUCCCUUGUCCACGGUUCAACUUCAAUUAACAUCUCGGUACGCCUGCAGUACUCGCCUUGGAGAUCGCAAAGACUUAUCGAAUUCAGAUCGAAUCCCGGAAUGAGCACGCCCUCACUCCGCUGCAGCUGUUGGUGACCAUUCCAGAGGCAUUCCGAAGCCAAGUAGUUCUUGGGGCCCUCGACUCCUUCAUCUACGAAUGUGAGUGAUACCCUCCUCUAAUCCUUUUCCUGUACAUACAGCAAUAAUUCUCAUCUACGAUGAGGCUAAAAAAUCAAUUAAAAUGUGCAUAAGAAUAUUCGUAGAGCUCUUUGGUUUUACAUUUCAGGGAUUCCCUUGGAAGAGGACUCGAGUAAAAUGAACAAAAGGGAUGAAGAGGUGGCACUCAACAGAUCUGUAUGUGGCUUAUGCAUGAAUGACUUUUUACAUGACAUUGCUUCGAUUCAUGAGUACAUCGGUUACGUUUAGCUCUCUGAUUCGGUUCUCUCUGUGGCAUGCACAUGCAAUCUCAAGAGCAUUGGAGUAGCACAAGACGAUAACUCGCCGAGGGCUUUUCGCUCAAAAUUCCCAUCAAACUACAGCACUCUCUUUGACCUGUUGGAGUUGAUCAGCAUCCCAGGUACUCGUUCAAUCGUAAAGUGAAAGGUUCUUAAUCUAUCAUUUUAUGGUUAUUAAAUGUAGGAUAGCAUUGGUUUAUGCAUGCAUUUUGUCCUGCAGCUGGCUGGAUUCUGCGAUUUGUUUAUAACAUUAUAAGGCAAUGUGAGUUAACAGUUCUUACACACCUAUACUUUUCUUAGCAAAUGAUGAAUCGCUUAUAAAAAUUAAAAAUAAUUUAUGUUAGGUUUUUACGUUACAUGAUUAAUGAUAAUUGAAAUGCAUGCACGGGUGCAGUGUCCCCGAGAGUCCAACGUCUGGAGGGGAAGAAGAAGAACCAUACAGAAACAAUGCACCUUAUCGAAUACUUGGCCAAAGAAGGAUACUUCGAGUUCUUUGGGCGUGGAAAAGCUCCCAUCCAAGGUAGUACAUUUGCUUCACAAGAGCUUUACGGCCAAUUUGGUAUGCAUGGUCCACCAAACACUCAACCGGAGACUGGACGAGAAGGUGAUGCCCAAGAAAAGGACACGGAAGCCCCAGCUGCAGUGAAAGAGCUCAUUAAGGGGAUGACCGAUAAGCUCUAUAAAUUAGUGUCGAAGGAAUCGGAAACACCGGUCUCAAUUGCAAUCAAAGAGGCGGCUCAGAGUGUGGAGAAAGUGUUAAAGGCACUGUCACCUAGCUCGGAAGAGAGAUGGAACGAACCACCCUUGAUCUUAGCUGCACAAAUGGGCCUUCAUGAUUU